ACCAUCCACUGACUUUACCUGACUAAGGUAACAGUUACCGGUUCAUAAAUGAAAGUAAUAUGUUUCUUCGAUAAUUUUCACUGCGUCAACCUAUCGACCUUACGUGAAAUCUACGUACAUGCUUUAAUUCAUUCCGAACGUGUUCAUUCUUCGAUUCAUUUAGUGUUGUGAUCAAUUGUAAAGAUGGCGUCAAGUGAAAAUAAACAUCAAGAUUUGGUGGACUUCCCAUUUUUUGAUUGAUUGAAAGAUCAUCGGGCCAUUUUUCUGAGUCGCAUCUUUGCUAGCAAUGCGGGUCAGAUUGGUACGUGGUAUUGGAAGAGCUGGCGCAGGUCAACUAUGGUUAUCCCGUUUUUUUUAAAUAUAAGCAAACGUUGGCUGUAAUUGUGUGCCGAAGGAUUUCCGAAAAUAUCGAGCCGAAAACAUACAACAAAACCAGACUUGUUACCAGAUUUUCCGAUACUCCAGCAUUGUGUGAAAUAUCGAUGGUUCAAUAAAUAAAAGUAAGAAUUAA